rnacentral:tRNA from 1 species
GGCGGGAUGGCAGAGUGGUUAUGCAGCGGCCUGCAAAGCCGUCCACCUCGGUUCGAUUCCGGGUCCCGCCUCCA